ensembl:lncRNA
CUGCCCCAUAUGUGAACGGAGAAGAGAGAUCAGAUCCGAUAUCGUUGGUUCCCUACCUUGGCCCUCAGUGCUGUCUACCCCUCCAGAAGCUCCAUUCUCCUCCUGUUCUGCAUCGACUUGUCCUUCUGAGCCCAUUUGCUGGCUUGGUACAUCUCCUUGGACUACUCUCACACUCCUUGCUCCUCUCUGCAUGGUUUGAUAAGGAGUGGGGAGAAAAAAAAAAAAAACCCUGAAACUUUUAUCUCAUGCAAAUAGUCAUUUGCAUGCAAGACAGUCCCAUUGUUGUUCAAUAAAUGUGCCUUUUGAAAAUAAUUUUCUAUUCUGUUGUAAUGCAUCAAACGUGUCUUUUGAAUAAUUUGAUUAGCUAAUUAUCUUAUUCACUAGUUAUCUGGUUCAUCAUUUGGUUUUUAAUUGUGUAGUGUAUAUAGCCUUUGUGUCUCAGAUUCUAUCAUUGUAUCCUGAUAUGAAAUAUUGUGAUGAUGCUAAUUCUGAAUGUUGGUUGUUGUGGAAAUGGUUAUUAAAUAAACUAAUCUUAAAUCUCAAAAAAAAAAAAAACCCCCAAAAAAAAACAACUGUGCCUUUUUUGUGUGUGUGUGUGUGUAUUUUUUUUUAAACUGGCUGUAUCCCACUGCUGCCACCAAUUGUCAUGAUCCAAGCCGCCAGGAACACACAGGCACAAAUGUAAUCUUCAAAAAAAUGGGUUUUAUUAUACCCCCAAAAAGGACAAAAUGAUUACAAAAAUUCAAAAUAACAAAAAAUAAAGUUUGUAAGAACCAAGUGGGCCCAUAAAAGAGGUUAACUUAACAGACCGCCACUCAAAAGUCAUUUAACAAAAACAUAACUCAACAAACUGACCUGCCCAAAUGAGAAACAGCUCCAGUUAUAUAGCAAAUGAAUAAACCAUUAUAUACACCAAAGGUGAAAACUAAAGAGAUAACAGAUAACCAUCAUUCAAGAAGAACCCCAUUCCCCCUGCAUGAUCACAAUAGAUGGUCCAGUCCACUUUAUUGGCUUCUGCAUUUAAACCAGCUCCACCCUCAGCCCCCUCUUUCAGCCAAACCAGGAAGGACUGGAGCGGAGGUCAGGUAACUAAGUAUCUCAGUUGUGUGGUUGCAUGCAUCCAUCACAAUUAUAUACAGAGAUUUAUGGUACUGCAAACUAGUGAUGGGCAGAUGAAGCCCCAUGAAGCACUGGAGCUUUUCAUCC